GCUCAACCUGGGAAUUGCAUUGGAUACUGGCAGGCUAGAGUGCGGUAGAGGGUAGUGGAAUUCCCGGUGUAGCAGUGAAAUGCGUAGAGAUCGGGAGGAACACCAGUGGCGAAGGCGACUACCUGGACCAGCACUGACACUGAGGCACGAAAGCGUGGGGAGCAAACAGGAUUAGAUACCCUGGUAGUCCACGCCCUAAACGAUGCGAACUGGAUGUUGGGAGCAACUAGGCUCUCAGUAUCGAAGCUAACGCGUUAAGUUCGCCGCCUGGGGAGUACGGUCGCAAGACUGAAACUCAAAGGAAUUGACGGGGGCCCGCACAAGCGGUGGAGUAUGUGGUUUAAUUCGAUGCAACGCGAAGAACCUUACCUGGCCUUGACAUCCACGGAACUUACCAGAGAUGGUUUGGUGCCUUCGGGAACCGUGAGACAGGUGCUGCAUGGCUGUCGUCAGCUCGUGUCGUGGGAUGUUGGGUUAAGUCCCGCAACGAGCGCAACCCUUGUCCUUAGUUGCCAGCACGUAAUGGUGGGAACUCUAAGGAGACCGCCGGUGACAAACCGGAGGAAGGUGGGGAUGACGUCAAGUCAUCA
rnacentral:rRNA from 1 species